UGAAUACGAGACGCUAAGGCGUCGAAGUAGUGUAUGUCAUACUUCCAAGAAAAGCUUGCACUGUCAUAAGUAAAAAAUGCCUGUACCAUAACCGACACAGGUGGGUAGGUAGAGUAUACUAAGGGGCGCGAGAUAACUCUCUCUAAGGAACUCGGCAAAAUAACUCCGUAACUUCGGGAGAAGGAGUACCUUAUUCUAUAAGGUUGCAAUAACAAGAUCCAAGCAACUGUUUAUCAAAAACACAGGUCUCCGCUAAGUCGUAAGACGAUGUAUGGGGGCUGACGCCUGCCCAGUGCCAGAAGGUUAAAGAAGUCGGUUAGCAUUAGCGAAGCUGGUAACUGAAGCCCUGGUGAACGGCGGCCGUAACAAUAACGGUCCUAAGGUAGCGAAAUUCCUUGUCGGGUAAGUUCCGACCCGCACGAAAGGCGUAAUGAUUUGGAUACUGUCUCGGAGAGGGGCUCGGUGAAAUAGACUUGUCUGUGAAGAUGCGGACUACCUGCACCAGGACAGAAAGACCCUAUGAAGCUUUACUGUAACUUGAAAUUGAAAUUGGACUUUAUUCGCGCAGUAUAGGUGGGAGGUGUUGAUUAUAAUCUUGCGGGAUUAUUGGAGCCAUCAGUGAGAUACCACUCUUGUAAUGUUAGAUUUCUAACUUUGAAUCAUUAUCUGGUCAAAGGACAGUUUCAGGCGGGCAGUUUGACUGGGGCGGUCGCCUCCCAAACGGUAACGGAGGCGUACAAAGGUUUCCUCUGAACGGGUAGAAAUCGUAUCUAGAGUGUAAAGGCAUAAGGAAGCUUGACUGUGAGACCUACAAGUCGAACAGGGACGAAAGUCGGUCUUAGUGAUCUGACGGUACUGAGUGGAAAGGCCGUCACUCAACGGAUAAAAGUUACUCUAGGAUAACAGGCUGAUCUCCCCCGAGAGUUCACAUCGACGGGGAGGUUUGGCACCUCGAUGUCGGCUCAUCGCAUCCUGGGGCGGUAGUACGUCCCAAGGGUUGGGCUGUUCGCCCAUGAAAGCGGUACGCGAGCUGGGUUCAGAACGUCGUGAGACAGUUCGGUCCAUAUCCGGUGUAGGCGUUAGAAUAUUGAGAGGAGCCUUCUUUAGUACGAGAGGACCGAGAAGGACAUACCUCUGGUGUACCAGUUAUCGUGCCAACGGUAAACGCUGGGUAGCUAUGUAUGGAGUGGAUAACCGCUGAAAGCAUCUAAGUGGGAAGCCCACCUCAAGAUAAGUAUUCCC
rnacentral:rRNA from 1 species